CCUACGGGAGGCAGCAGUGAGGAAUCUUGCGCAAUGGGGGCAACCCUGACGCAGCAACGCCGCGUGAGUGAUGAAGGCCUUCGGGUCGUAAAGCUCUGUCAGGUGGGAAGAAGGUUCCGUUUCUGAAUAAGAAACGGAAUUGACGGUACCGUCGAAGGAAGCACCGGCUAACUCCGUGCCAGCAGCCGCGGUAAUACGGAGGGUGCAAGCGUUGUUCGGAUUUAUUGGGCGUAAAGAGCGUGUAGGCGGCCAGGUAAGUCAGAGGUGAAAUCCCUUGGCUUAACCAAGAAAGGGCAUUUGAAAUGGGCGGGCUUGAGUACGGGAGGGGGAAGUGGAAUUCCCGGUGUAGAGGUGGAAUUCGUAGAUAUCGGGAGGAACACCGGUGGCGAGGGCGGCUCCCGGGACCAAUACUGACGCUGAGACGCGAAAGCGUGGGGAGCGAACGGGUUUAGAUCCC
rnacentral:rRNA from 1 species